GAUGAACGCUAGCUACAGGCUUAACACAUGCAAGUCGAGGGGAAACGACAUCGAAAGCUUGCUUUUGAUGGGCGUCGACCGGCGCACGGGUGAGUAACGCGUAUCCAACCUGCCCAUCACUUGGGAAUAACCUUGCGAAAGUAAGACUAAUACCCAAUGAUAUCCCACGAAGGCAUCGGAAUGGGAUUCAAGAUUUAUCGGUGAUGGAUGGGGAUGCGUCUGAUUAGCUUGUUGGCGGGGUAACGGCCCACCAAGGCAACGAUCAGUAGGGGUUCUGAGAGGAAGGUCCCCCACAUUGGAACUGAGACACGGUCCAAACGCCUACGGGAGGCAGCAGUGAGGAAUAUUGAUCAAUGGGCGAGAGCCUGAACCAGCCAAGUAGCGUGCAGGAAGACGGCCCUAUGGGUUGUAAACUGCUUUUAUAAGGGAAUAAAGUGGGUCACGUGUGACUUUUUGCAUGUACCUUAUGAAUAAGGACCGGCUAAUUCCGUG
rnacentral:rRNA from 1 species